GCCCUCAUAGCUCAACGGUAGAGCACGUCACUGUUAAUGAUGUGAUAGGUGUUCAAUUCACCUUUGGGGCU
rnacentral:tRNA from 3 species